rnacentral:rRNA from 1 species
CCUACGGGUGGCUGCAGUGCGGAAUAUUGGACAAUGGGCGAAAGCCUGAUCCAGCCAUGCCGCGUGUGUGAAGAAGGCCUUCGGGUUGUAAAGCACUUUCAGUGGGGAAGAAAGCCUUGGGGCUAAUACCCUCGAGGAAGGACAUCACCCACAGAAGAAGCACCGGCUAACUCCGUGCCAGCAGCCGCGGUAAUACGGAGGGUGCGAGCGUUAAUCGGAAUUACUGGGCGUAAAGCGCGCGUAGGCGGUCUGAUAAGCCGGUUGUGAAAGCCCCGGGCUCAACCUGGGAACGGCAUCCGGAACUGUCAGGCUAGAGUGCAGGAGAGGAAGGUAGAAUUCCCGGUGUAGCGGUGAAAUGCGUAGAGAUCGGGAGGAAUACCAGUGGCGAAGGCGGCCUUCUGGACUGACACUGACGCUGAGGUGCGAAAGCGUGGGUAGCAAACAGGAUUAGAUACCCUUGUAGUC